AGACUACAGAGCACAAUAAUGACCUGGACAGUGUGGAUAACCUUGGUGUGCCUUCUUUAUUUUGAUGUUGCAGCGGGGCUACAUAGGCCGCGGCCACUAACUGAGCCACCUAGCCCUCGUGCGGGUACAGAGGUUCCCGAUCAUGCGUUACACUGUCGACUUACGGGGCACUCGUGUCACAAGGCCAUUGAAUGCUGCCAGGGAAAGCCGUGCAAGGACGGGAAGUGCCUGUAGGCUGCCUAAUUCAAGGGCAGUGACGUCCCGGAACGUACAAGGAGACCAGUGCCAUAACGGCACGCCUAUCGAAAAGAAAAAGAGCCAGCGAUUGAUACCACAGUCUGCGUUGCGGGAAAUACCUUUACAGUAAAUAUAAAGCUUCAGUGAUAUCAUGUGAUUGAUCUCAUUCUGUCCUAAUGAAAUUAUAACUGGA
rnacentral:lncRNA from 1 species